rnacentral:rRNA from 1 species
UACGUAGGUGGCAAGCGUUGUCCGGAUUUACUGGGCGUAAAGGGCGUGCAGGCGGUUUGUUAAGUCUAGGGUGAAAGCUCCCGGCUCAACUGGGAGAGGUCCUUGGAUACUGGCGAACUUGAGGGAUGCAGAGGAAAGUGGAAUUCCCGGUGUAGUGGUGAUAUGCGUAGAUAUCGGGAGGAACACCAGUGGCGAAGGCGGCUGUCUGGGCAUUUCCUGACGCUGAGACGCGAAAGCGUGGGGAGCGAACCGG